AUAGUCGUUGAACGUUGACGGAGGGAGGAAGGAAACUCGUGAACAAAAAAAAAAAAUGCAAUUUAUUUUAUAUUCUCUUUCGGUCUACGGGAAUAUCAUCAAUAGCAACAUAGCAUAGCUAACUUAGUGUGCCUCUAAAUUCACGGAUUGCAUUGCAUAACCCUAAUCUCUCCUCUCAACGUCUUCAAUUCAUUGAAGUUUUACAAUUUUGUGCUUUCCAAACAAUUACAUGGGCAAUUGUGUGGUUAAGUCUCAAUCUCAAUCAAAAGAUGAUGAUUCUGUUUAUAAAGUGGAAUUUGCUUCUGGUAAUGUGCAACUUAUUACUACCAAAGAAUCUUGGGACCAAAAGUUAGAACAAGCAAGGGGAGAUGGAAAAAUUGUUAUUGCAAAUUUCAGUGCAACAUGGUGUGGUCCUUGUAAGACAAUUGCACCGUAUUAUUGCGAGUUAUCAGAGAAAUAUCCAUCCAUUAUGUUCUUAUUAAUUGACGUGGAUGAGCUAACUGACUUUAGCACAUCCUGGGACAUUAAAGCCACACCAACUUUCUUCUUUCUUAGAGAUGGACAAGAGAUUGACAAACUAGUAGGAGCCAACAAACCAGAGCUGGAGAAGAAGAUUGCUUCAGUUUCCCAGUAUCAAUAACGAUUUUAGUAUUGUCUGGAUUCAUAAAAGUUAUGUUCAGCUCUUCUCUCUUCACAAUCUGUGAUGUGAAUAUGAAGAUUGGGAAAGCAAUCAUAUACCAACAAGUGAAAUGGAGGAAGCUGAAUGGAAGAUGGUGCAAAGGAAAGGAAAUCAGUUUGUGGUGAAUGAGCAACCUUUCUAUGUAAACGGAUUCAACACUUAUUGGUUGAUGGUAUUUGGUGCGGAUGAGUCCACAAGAGGAAAAGUCACUCAAGUUUUCAAACA